rnacentral:RNase_P_RNA from 1 species
AGCAGGCCGAACGACCGCGGGUACAGGCCGAAAGGCCGUACAUGAGGAAAGUCCGGGCUCCAUAGGGCAAGGAUAACGGGUAACGCCCGCCAGGGGUGACCCUCGGACAAGUGCAACAGAAAUAUACCGCUUCGCGCCCCGCGCGGAGUAAGGGUGGAAAAGUGAGGUAAGAGCUCACUCGCCGCAUGGAGACAUGGCGGCGCUGUAAACUCUAUCCGGAGCAACACCGUGGGAGAACGCAUGGCCGGCCCGGCCGUUCUCAGGAGGUGGCUUGAGUCUGUCAGCAAUGGCAGACGUAGAUAGAUGGUCGUUUAAGACAGAACCCGGCUUACAGACCUGCUCAU